CGCGGGUGUAGUUCAAUGGUAGAACAUCAGCUUCCCAAGCUGACAGUGCGAGUUCGAUUCUCGUCACCCGCUCCA
rnacentral:tRNA from 1 species